rnacentral:snoRNA from 1 species
UGACCAUGAUGGGAUGAAUUUCUUCACCCGACAAUGCCGUGGGGAACCACACAAUCGAGCUUUUAACACUGAGUACG